rnacentral:rRNA from 1 species
CCUACGGGAGGCUGCAGUAGGGAAUCUUCCGCAAUGGACGAAAGUCUGACGGAGCAACGCCGCGUGAGCGAAGAAGGUCUUCGGAUCGUAAAGCUCUGUUGUUGGGGAAGAACAGGUAGGGAGGAAAAGACCGUAACUUUGAGGUUACUUACCGAGGAGGCCACGGCUACUUACGUGCCAGAAGCCGCGGUAAAAGGUAGGUGGCAAGCGUUGUCCGGAAUUAUUGGGCGUAAAGCGCGCGCAGGCGGUCUUUUAAGUCUGAUGUGAAAUCUUGCGGCUCAACCGCAAGCGGUCAUUGGAAACUGGGAGACUUGAGUGCAGAAGAGGAAAGCGGAAUUCCACGUGUAGCGGUGAAAUGCGUAGAGAUGUGGAGGAACACCAGUGGCGAAGGCGGCUUUCUGGUCUGUAACUGACGCUGAGGCGCGAAAGCGUGGGGAGCAAACAGGAUUAGAUACCCUAGUAGUC